rnacentral:rRNA from 1 species
AUGGACUGCUUAACUAGGGAAACACUGGGUUUGGAUGACGGGAUGGAUGGAUUGUCAUGUCCAUGUGAAGUAGCGAGGGAUCUUGCAAGGAAAACCGACCACAUUCUAAAAAACCACUCAGGCAUUGGCGUUAAGGCGCUCAAGCUUGAAAUAUGUGAUUUCCCCCUUUUCAACACCUCCUGUGAUCUCGAUCGUUGGCUUCAUAUUGCUGUCAAACCAGGGAUUGAGGAACUUGACCUCCAGCUUAUUGUAUCUCAUGCAGCUCUUUGUCGAGAAAAAUCUCAUGCGGCUCUUUGUCGAAAGAUAUCUCAAAAAUCACAUGCAACUGUGUACAACUUUCCAUGCUCACUUUUAGAUGGGAGUGGCAAGUCGAUCCAGCAGCUUUAUCUCAACAAUUGUGCCCUCCGUCCCACGAUACCUAGCCUGUUGCAGCAGCUUAGCCACCUGGUUGUCGAGGAAUGUAGAAAUCUGGAAGUGAUAAAGAGCAAAGCCCCUCAUCUGUACAGUUUUGGAUAUCGUGGUACCCUAGUACGACUAUCACUUGGUGAUUCAUUGCAAAACCUAUACAUUGAUGCUUCAGAUCAGGACGUUGUUCAUCAUGCUUGUGCCGAUCUUCUGGACGUGGUGCCAAAUCUUGAAGCUCUUGAAAUAUCUUCGUAUUAUCCGAUGGAUACACUGGUGGUACCUGGCAAAUUUCUCCACCUCCAACGACUAUGUAUUGGGUUAUUUACCCCAGACUAUGAUUAUUUGUCUCUGGUUUCUUUACUCGAUGCGUGUCCUUCCUUGGAGACUUUUGUAUUGUCCGUAGAGCCAGAUCGCGUGAGGCAAGAAUCAGUUUUAGGAAAAUCUUCUCAUAAUCUAAUCCAGAUGCCAGGCCACAUGCAUAGGAACAUAAAGGAUGUGCAUAUCAUUGGCUUCUGUUCUGCAAACAGCAUGGUUGAGCUAACAUGCCAUAUACUUGAGAAUGUGAAGUCGCUUGAGUACCUUACACUGAGCACCUCUGGGGAUGAUGAAAUUUUGUGUUCUAAAAGUGAAAAUGGUAUAUGCCUUCGAAUGAACAAGUAUAUGAGGAUGGAAGCCCGCAAAGCACUCUUGGCCGUGGAAAGACACAUUUUGGGGAAAGUUCCAUCUACCGUAGAGUUAGAAGUUGUGAAGCCUUGCAGCCGGUGCAAUACUCUUUAA